AAUUUAUCUAUGGUUUGACCCGUCAAGGAACUUCCACACCUAUUCCAUCAUUUGGAAGCCACAGCACAUCAUAUUCUUGGUGGACAACACUCCCAUCCGAGUGUUCAAAAACGCCGAGGCGAUCGGAGUGCCGUUCCCCAAGAGCCAGCCCAUGAGGAUCUACUCGAGCUUGUGGAACGCCGACGAUUGGGCCACGAGGGGCGGGUUGGUGAAGACCGAUUGGACGAAGGCACCCUUCACCGCAUACUACCGGAACUUCAAUGCCAACAAGGCUUGUGUUUGGUCGGGGACAGGUUCGUCUUGCGGCAAGACGAACUCGGUCUCCGACGGUGCUUGGGAAACGACCGAGCUCGAUGCCCCCGGGAGGCGGAGAUUGAGAUGGGUUUCAAAAAUACUUCAUGAUUUACAACUAUUGCACCGAUUUGAAGCGUUUCCCUCAGGGUGUUCCCCCCGAGUGUAAACGGAGGGCCUAAAAGGAACUUUUGUCAUAUUCUUUUAUGUUUUCUUCUACGUGAUCAAGUUGAACUCAACUUGAUGCUUGGGGGUCGAAUAAGUUAUUAAUAUUCUUUGUUUUCAUCCAUCUUUUUUUUUCCUUUCAAUUUCUGGUUCUAAUUUAAUGAUUUUGUGGUGUUGAAAAUAGCUGUAAAUCCUCUGUUUCUGGUAAUAAAUUCUUCAUGCUUCGAAUAUCAAAA